UCCAGCUGGUGGUUUGGUGUUCGGCAUCCGAGUAUCUAUCUAAACAGACGCCGGAGCCAUUCCCGGUAGCGGCCCGAACCGGCGAACUUUGUCUAACAACUUUUUUGCAGUUUUUCUUAGACAGCUCUUCUGAGGUUGUCUACAAGUAAGACCCUAGGGAAAGUAAUUUCUCCAGCCACCCCGUCUGCUGUGUCACUUUCCUGUGUUGCUGGGGUUUUAGGCACGAGCACUGUGGGCUAUAAAUGCAGUUAAGUUCAGGUUACUUUUUCCUUAGAGGCCUAGAGUAGACCUUCCUUGGAGGUGCAGAUGCUUUUGGAUGAAAUGCAUCAAUAAAGUUUGAAUCGCAUUCCUAAGAUGGCAGGAAAAAACUGGCACAUUAAAAUACAGAAGCUCAGCACAGUUUAAUGAAGGGAUCAUUUGCUAAAGUGUGGUCAGGAUCAAGAGUUGUCAACAAGAAAUGGUGAAGAAUCCCAAGGAGAAGAGGAAAUUAGGACAUAGCAACAGAAACCAAGGAAUGACCAGUUGAGGACAUGAGAAGGAGGCCAUCUGCCAAGGAGAGAGCCCUCAGAAGAAACCAGAUCUGCUAACAUGUUGAUCUUGGACCUCUAAGCCUCUAGAACUG